UAAUGCUAAAAGCUCUUCAAAAGCAGUUAAACUCUGAAACAGCAAAAGCAUCAACAACAAUGGACCUCGGAUAAUCUCUAUAUAUGGUCAGCACUCGAUGUUGAUGUGUUGCUGGCCAGUUUUCUGUGGCAUCGUUAGAAUAUUGAAAAUGCAUUAAAACGGCACUACGGAUUUGCUUGCGGACAGUUGGAGGGGGGCGAACUCGGACUGGGAAGUUCUACACUCUGAUGGCAUUUUCUCAUGGCUUAUGCGCAACCGAUUUUGCAAACCUAGAACGUGUGUUUACCAAGCCUGAUUAUCCGCAUGAACCUGGGUCAGUACGAACGGUAGUAGUACCAUAUUGCUGUCCCCCACCCUUUAUAAUACAAAUAUUUCAUAAAGUUUAUAUUAUUGAA